AUGUGUCUUAGACCUAAGUUGUUGCCGUUGGACAUACAUGCAUCCUCGCUUGGAGGCAGUAGUGAUGGGAGAUAUGCAUGUGCAAGGCGAAGAAGUGGGCGAAGGCCGAAGAAGCAAUAUGCCGAUCUAGCACCGCGCUUUAGCGGGUGCCUCGCCGACGACGGGGAAGGAAGGAUUAGAAGUGAAGGCUAUAGCACUAGGAAAUUGGAAACCCUAGCAAUUGACCUUCUCUAUAAAACAUGUGUGGCAGCGAGGCAGGGGACGUGGAACCUGCUUCAGGGAAGAGAGAUGGAUCACGCGAGAGAAGAGAUCAGCUUUCAUCCUUUAUCAGACAGACAAUUGUCUUUUUUUGCCAAUUGCCUAGUCCAUAUUGUCCAUGUGUUCGAUGCAUGCAAACAUGUGGCCCUUAGAGUUUGUAGGUAG
rnacentral:rRNA from 1 species